CUUUUGUUUUUCCCUUAACAAAAAAUUAGAGAAAAUCUCCCUCUCUCUCCUCUCUCGCUCGCCGGAGCUCCGUCGGGCAUCUCCAUCAACUGUAUCACCUCCGGCGAAGAAAUCGUCUGUGCUCGAGCGAUGAAGUCUCCGGACCUGGAGGAACAAGAGGAUAACGAUGUGUACGAUAAUUUACCUUGUCGUAACGGUUCUUCUUCAGGAGAGGUGACGAGGCGAAAGACUAGCACGUACAGGUCGAAGCAUUCAGAGACUGAGCAGCGGAGAAGGAGCAAAAUCAAUGAAAGGUUUCAAACUUUAAUGGAUCUGAUACCUCAAAAUGAUCAGAAACGAGAUAAAGCUUCCUUCCUGUUGGAGUUGUUUUACGUGUCACAGGUUAUAGAGUAUAUCCAUUUUCUUCAGGAAAAGCUACAAAUGUACGAGGGUUCUCACCAAAUGUGGAAUCAAGGCUCAGCCAAAUUGAUUCCAUGGAGAAAUAAUCCCAGGCCUGCUGAAGAUGCCAGUGAUCAUUCUCAAGGCAUGAAAAGCUGGUCAAGUCAUGAGAAAGCUUUUGUUGCUCCUGAAAUACUCUCUGAUAUGCAAAACUCUCUGGACGCUGAUGUCGACUCGAUAGCUGUGUUCAGGACUCUCAAUCAGGAUCCUACUUCAGAACUUCCAUCUUAUUUUCCGGCCCAUCCUACACUGCAGUUUGUUCAGCAAGAUUCGUGCCAAGUGAGACCAAGCAGUGGAUCAGCUGUUUGCAAUACAAGCGAACCUUCUAACUUGAAGGAAAAAAAUUUGGCCAGCUCGUCCACUGCCUACUCUCAAGGGGUACUAAGCUCUCUUACAGAAGCACUUAAGUCAUCGGGUGUCAAUUUGUCAGAGACCUUGAUAUCUGUGCAGCUUAGUGUUGGGAAAAGAGCAGAUCCUGAGGCUGCUGUCACUGCUUCGGCUUCGGCGGAAAAUACCAAUGGGCUCGCAGACAGAGAAGUCGGUUCCCAAGGUGAAACUAGAAGCUUCUAUGAAGAAUCUAAACAUGCCCAGAAGAGGAUAAGGCGAUAAGCAAUAUUCUUUCUUUCCCCCUGUUUUGCCCAUCUUGCUUUUGUUUCUUUUGUGGGAGUUUGACAUUUUUCUCAAGGCACCAUGGAAUAUCUAGGUUCAGAUCGAUUGUAAAUACUUGUGGUCACUGCGUUUACCCGUUGCAUUUAAUCUUAUAGAAAAGAGAGAAGAAGGUUGUAGCAAGUGUUUACGCUUGAGAUACAAUACAAGCUCCCAUGACCAUAAUGAGAUGAGAGGUGACUCUUGCUGCUUUAUCACGUCAGUUUUCCUUUAUACAGUCUCAUAUUUACUUGUUUUACCAUAUCCUUCUAUGUUGUACCUUCGUUUCCAAAGGGUUAACUGCGGUUUUAGGAUACCCAGAUGCAGGAGGAAGUAGAAAACUCGUCUUUAUUCUUAACCCUGAUAUAGAUAUACAUUUUCAAAUACAAGAAAGAGUGAAUCUCUCAGCUAAAUCAUGAGGGCAUUGUAUGUAUCUUGAUACUCAAUACUCCAUCAAGGGGAGAGUUCAUGUGUCGAAGAAGAUGAAGCAGGGGGAGGCCCUGGGCUGCGUGGCGGUGGUAGGAAAGGGAAUGGAGGAAAUGGGAUGAAUGGUCGUGGUGGUGGUGGUGGAGGCGGAGGGGGAGGUGAUGGGAUUAGGCCUGGAAAGGGUGGAAAAAGCGGUGGCAGUGGAGGAAAGAAAGAUGGUGGGGGAGGAGGAGGAGAAGGGGGAGGCUGAAAUGGGUUUGGAGGAAAUAUCGACGGGGGAGGAGCAGGAGGAGGCUGAGGAAAUAUCGGAGGGAAUAUCGAUGGAGGAGGAGCAGGAGGAGGCUGAGGAAAUAACGGAGGAAAUAUAGAUGGAGGAGGAGGCUGAGGAAAUAUCGGAGGAAAUAUAGAUGGAGGAGGUGGCUGAAAUGGAUUUGGUGGGAAGAUUGAAGGAGGAGGUGCAAAUGGGUUGGGAGGAAGAAACCAUGGAGGUGGGAAGAAGAGCUUCUGGUCUUGGAGCUUCACCAGACGAACAGGAAGAAACGAUGAAGAAGAAGCUGAGGUGGAUGAUGCUGAGGCACAACACGAGUCAGCAAGUAACUUAACUGAACACCUCUUGAUUCUUUUUAAGCAUUUCUUGGCUGGGAAAGGACACUGAACCCGGAAUUCCCCACGACCAUCAGUUACUGUUUCUUGUCUGAAACUCGGUCUUGAUCUUCUGUCUCUGCAUUCCACUUCAACAGGAGAACCUGAGAACCAAAAAAAAGAAAGAAAACAGAGUGACAGACUUCACAGAAGGAGAAACAAAAACAUAUGAAUGAACAUGUCUGGUCGGGUUUCGGGGACCUGAAAUGAGGUAGCUGGUGUUGCAGUAGACAGUUCCGACGACGACGAGUAAUGGUAGAUUCUUGGCCUCUGAAGAGAGAUUGGAGACGGUUAUUGUGAAGAAGAGGGAGAGAGCAAGAAUGAGAAAGGAAGGCAUUGACAUUGUCGAGCUCUGAAGAGUGAUUUUGGCCAUCAAAACUGACUUUAAAAAAAAAAGGUUAAAAGAGCAGAAGAAGACGUGGAGCUGCUUCUGCUGUAGUGUAGAAAGCUUUUGUCUGUUUUUGUCUCGUGAUUCUCCUACUCUUGUUUCGGUGUCCUAAGGAAAAUAUAUAAAAACAACACAUGAAUUUCAAUCCCACCAAAUAAAUUUUGCAAUAUUAA